rnacentral:RNase_P_RNA from 1 species
AGCGCAGUCCGUCUCAUCGCUGCGAGCUUGCCUCGCGGAGGAAAGUCCGGGCAACAAAGAGCGCCGUGCUACCUAACGGGUAGGCUUUGCAAACGCAAGGUUGCAGAGACAGAAAGUGUCACAGAAACUAUACCGCCGCGGGUGCAAACCUGUGGUAAGGGUGAAAAAGCGGGGUAAGGGCCCACUUGUUGUGCAGCAAUGUACGGCAGGACAAACCUCACGGGUUGAAAAAUCAAAUAUACCCGGCUCAAGGGCUGCUCGUCCGUCGCAACGGCUUGCCGUUGCCGCCG